rnacentral:rRNA from 1 species
AACGAACGCUGGCGGCAUGCUUUACACAUGCAAGUCGAACGGUAACAGGCCGCAAGGUGCUGACGAGUGGCGAACGGGUGAGUAAUGCAUCGGAACGUGCCCAGUCGUGGGGGAUAACUGCUCGAAAGAGCAGCUAAUACCGCAUACGAUCUAUGGAAGAAAGCGGGGGACCGUAAGGCCUCGCGCGAUUGGAGCGGCCGAUGUCAGAUUAGGUAGUUGGUGGGGUAAAGGCUUACCAAGCCAACGAUCUGUAGCUGGUCUGAGAGGACGACCAGCCACACUGGGACUGAGACACGGCCCAGACUCCUACGGGAGGCAGCAGUGGGGAAUUUUGGACAAUGGGGGCAACCCUGAUCCAGCAAUGCCGCGUGCAGGAAGAAGGCCUUCGGGUUGUAAACUGCUUUUGUACGGAACGAAACGGUCUGGGUUAAUACCCUAGGCUAAUGACGGUACCGUAAGAAUAAGCACCGGCUAACUACGUGCCAGCCGCCGCCGUAACAC